CAGAGCAUCCUGCCUUGACAAAUUGGGUGACCAAACCGCCAUGAUAACAGCUAUUUUGCAGUCUCGUUUAGCUAGAACAUCAUUUGACAAAAACAGGUUCCAAAACAUUUCUGAAAAGCUGCACAUGGAAUGCAAAGCAGAAAUGGUGACGCCUCUGGUGACUAAUCCUGGACACGUGUGCAUCACGGACACAAACCUGUAUUUUCAGCCCCUCAACGGCUACCCGAAACCUGUGGUCCAGAUAACACUCCAAGAUGUCCGCCGCAUCUACAAAAGGAGGCACGGACUCAUGCCUCUGGGCUUGGAAGUAUUUUGCACAGAAGAUGAUCUGUGUUCCGACAUCUACCUAAAGUUCUAUGAACCUCAAGAUAGAGAUGAUCUCUAUUUUUACAUUGCCACAUACCUAGAGCACCAUGUGGCGGAGCACACUGCUGAGAGCUACAUGCUGCAGUGGCAGCGUGGACACCUUUCCAACUAUCAGUACCUCCUUCACCUCAACAACCUGGCCGACCGCAGCUGCAACGACCUCUCCCAGUACCCUGUGUUUCCAUGGAUAAUACAUGAUUAUUCCAGCUCAGAACUAGAUUUGUCAAAUCCAGGAACCUUCCGGGAUCUCAGUAAGCCAGUGGGGGCCCUAAAUAAGGAACGGCUGGAGAGACUACUGACACGCUACCAGGAAAUGCCUGAACCAAAGUUCAUGUAUGGGAGUCACUACUCUUCCCCGGGUUAUGUACUUUUUUAUCUUGUUAGGAUUGCACCAGAGUAUAUGCUGUGCCUGCAGAAUGGAAGAUUUGAUAAUGCAGAUAGAAUGUUCAACAGGUUUGAUACAAAUGCCUUGCUUAUCAUUUUUAACACUUACUGAUUGUAUAUAUACAACAUACUUGUUUCAAAGCACUGGAUAUAAUAAAAAAGUAAAGAAAUGUAAAAAAUCACUAA
rnacentral:sRNA from 1 species